CCCCUGGAGAGGAACAAGGCCAUGCAUGUGGAUCUGCUGGAGAAUGAGGCUGGCACCAGGCUCUGUUUCCAUAACCUCAGGACAAGUGUUUCAAUUUGCUUAAUGGACUUCAGCUGAAGACUUUUCUCAAUGUCCGAGGGAAGUAAAGUCUAAUAAACCCCUGAGGACUUAGCCGUCAUAGUUCAGCACUUUUUGGCUUAUUUUGUCUGACUUUCAUCUUUGCUGCUGCAGAAAUGAGGGCUGAAGAGCACCCUGGACCUACUCUUGUAGCUUUGAGCCUGGGAAGCAGUAAACUAGACAAGUUGUCACAGGCAUUUGAACCAGAGCAAAUGCUGUCUUGAACAGCAGCUGGGUAAAAUGAGGCUGAGACCGACUGGACUGUAUUCACAGAUCAUUAGGCAUUCUUAGUCAUAGGAUGAGACAGGAGGUCAGCACAAGAUACAGGUCAUAAAAACCUUGCUGAUAAAACAGGUUGCAGUAAAGAAGCCAGCCAGGGUGUGGUGGCUUACGCCUGUAAUCGCAGCACUUUGGGAGGCCAAGGUGGGUGGAUCGCUUGAGGUCAAGAGUUCGAGACUAGCCUGGCCAACAUAGUGAA
rnacentral:lncRNA from 10 species